rnacentral:lncRNA from 1 species
GAAGCACAGAUUGCCGUGAGCAGCAGGGCUCUGCCCCGUUUCUCUCAGCGUCUUUUUCCUUUGGGUACAUGGGAAUGUGGUGGUGGUGUGGGGUAAGGAUUUCUUCUGCGAUUUUGUCCAGUGCAAUAACUAAUGCAGAAGGUCUUGUCUCUGAACCCCAUCUGAACCCCAGUGCCAAAAGUAUGUAUCUGUCCAGCCACUGUGCUCACUAGAGCUCCAGUCACCGUAAAGCUAAGCAACAUCCACAUCCCUGCAUGGCACAUUUCUCUUUUAGGGUUUUCAUGGCAUAUGAGCGAGUGAAGGGCACAAAAGCCUCUGUGGGAAUGCCGAGACCGCAGCACAGAGGCAAAGUCCAUCUGAUAUGUGCCAUGGUAAUUCUGCACUGGCCAGCGGUUCCCUGCAAUUGGUAUCUUCUUUUCACCAUCUGCUCUGCCCCGCUGUUCCUCACCCUUCUGCCUGGUCAGAAGCACCAGAACUCGGGGCGAGCGCACAUACCUGAGCAGCUGGCAUAAUGGAGCUCCAGUUCAGAGGAACCAUGGCACGCGUGGAGAUUAGGCAAAGAGAAUCCUCCUGAAGACUGACAAGGAGAAGAGGAAGGUCUCUAGUUCUCUGGACAAGCUGUAUCAUCUGGAUUCCCAGAUUCUCAUUUGGUAGCGAAAUUCCCACAGACAGGGAGAUCAUUUUCUCAGUGGGCCCUGUGUGAAGCUGCUCUUCGGGGCUCUCCUCUGUCUUCUGCAUUCCCAUUUCCAGCAGUAGGAAAAAUGACAGAUCAAGCAUCCGAGAUUCCCAUCUGGCCUUGAGAGCCAGAACUGUGUCACACAAUGGCCAGCACCGGAGGGGAGGCCCAGGUGCUGUGAACUCCAAUGCAAGCACAAAGCCUGAGCUGGUAGGACAGCACUGGCUGCAGUUAGCUAUUGGUUAUCUCGUACCAUUGUGAGUUCAGGCCUCCUUAGCAGAGUACUCAUCAUACACUUAGAGGGUAGAUUUCAAUUAGACAGAAAGAAGAAAUUCUGUCCAGUGAGGGUGGUAGGAAACUCGAGCAGCUUGCCCAGAGAAGUUGGGAAUGCCCCGUCCACGGAAGCGUUCGAGGCCAGCCUGGAUGGGGCUUUGGGCAAACCGCUACAGCUGAAGGUAUCUGUGCCAAUGGCAGCCGAGAUGGAACUAGGUUAUCUUGAAGGUCCCCUCCAACCCAAACCACCCUGAGGUUUUUUAUUUCCAGACUUUUCAUCCCACAGAAGAGCUCCAGAGCUCUAAGAAUCUCCUUCACAGUCAGCACUGUCCUCUCCUGAUCUUUCCUGCCUGUCUCUCCAGAUGCUCCUGUACCCAUCCAGGACAGUCCCUCAGUCAGGAACGCUUCUCAGCAGUUGUGCCCUCAGUGUGGAACGAAGUGAAGGCACGCUGGGCUCCAGCUGCUACUGCCUCUGUCCCAGGCUGAGGGCACCGACGCAGUCUGGGCUGCAGAACCCAAGCUGUGUCGCCGGGGCUGAGAGCAGAGUUGCACUGGGGAAACCU